UACGAAGGGGGCUAGCGUUGUUCGGAAUCACUGGGCGUAAAGGGCGCGUAGGCGGCUUUGUAAGUCGGGGGUGAAAGCCUGUGGCUCAACCACAGAAUUGCCUUCGAUACUGCAUGGCUUGAGACCGGAAGAGGUAAGUGGAACUGCGAGUGUAGAGGUGAAAUUCGUAGAUAUUCGCAAGAACACCAGUGGCGAAGGCGGCUCACUGGUCCGGAUCUGACGCUGAGGCGCGAAAGCGUGGGGAGCAAACAGG
rnacentral:rRNA from 1 species